rnacentral:rRNA from 1 species
GACGAACGCUGGCGGCGUGCUUAACACAUGCAAGUCGAGCGGAAAGGCCACUUCGGUGGUACUCGAGCGGCGAACGGGUGAGUAACACGUGAGUAAUCUGCCCCUGGCUUUGGGAUAGCCACCGGAAACGGUGAUUAAUACCGGAUACGACCACUUCUCGCAUGGGUUGGUGGUGGAAAGUUUUUUCGGCCAGGGAUGUGCUCGCGGCCUAUCAGCUUGAUGGUGAGGUAAUGGCUCACCAUGGCUUCGACGGGUAGCCGGCCUGGGAGGGUGACCGGUCACACUGGGACUGAGACACGGGCCAGACUCCUACGGGAGGCAGCAGUGGGGAAUAUUGGACAAUGGGCGGAAGCCUGAUCCAGCAACGCCGCGUGAGGGGUGACGGCCUUCGGGUUGUAAACCCCUUUCAGCAGGGACGAAGCGCAAGUGACGGUACCUGCAGAAGAAGCACCGGCCAACUACGUGCCAGCAGCCGCGGUAA